rnacentral:misc_RNA from 1 species
AUAAGAAAAGUAAAAGCUAUAAGAAGACAACAUAGUGCAGGACAUGCAAUUACAAUAAGCUUAGGUUAGGCACGUUUGAGUAAGGAACCAUGAAUUUUGCAAAAGGGAAAAAAUGGCUCGUACCUGCUCAAUUUUCCGUAAAUGAUACUCCCACCAUCCCAACUUAUGUGAUAGUGUUUGACUGUGCAUGGAGUUUAAGAAAAGAACUUUUGGAACUUGUGGUCUAGAACAUGUCACGGAUUAUUUUGUUUGGAGAACUGGUAAUGUAACAUGUCACAGAUAUAUGUGGCUAUGAAUCAUUUCAUUAAGAGUAAGUGAAAGUUUCAAUUUAAAUUGUUUCUAUAAAUUAUUUCACUAAUGGUAAAAUGUAAAGCUUCAAAAAAUUGUUUCUAA